rnacentral:tRNA from 1 species
GUCGUGAUGUCCGAGUGAUUAAGGCACUGGAUUCAAAAUCCCUUGGUGUUUCCUCGUACAGGUUCAAUUCUUGUUCACGACG